rnacentral:rRNA from 1 species
CCUACGGGUGGCUGCAGUGAGGAAUAUUGGUCAAUGGCCGGAAGGCUGAACCAGCCAAGCCGCGUGAAGGACGAAGGUGCCAAGCAUUGUAAACUUCUUUUGUCAAGGGACAAAAUCAGGCUCGAGAGCCUGACCGGGGGUACUUGAAGAAAAAGCAUCGGCUAACUCCGUGCCAGCAGCCGCGGUAAUACGGGGAAGGCGGGAGUUAUCGGGAUUUGUUGGGUUUAAAGGGUGCGUAGGCGGACGGUUAGGUCAGCGGUAAAAGCCCGGGGCUCAACCGCGGAGAGCCGGUGAAACUGGCUGUCUGGAGAGGUGGUGCGGUAUGCGGAAUGCGCAGUGUAGCGGUGAAAUGCUUAGAUAUUGCGCAGAACUCCGAUUGCGAAGGCAGCAUACGGGCGGCGAUUUGACGCUGAGGCACGAAAGCGUGGGUAUCGAACAGGAUUAGAUACCCGAAUAGUC